GAUGAACGCUAGCUACAGGCUUAACACAUGCGAGUCGAGGGGAAACGACAUCGAAAGCUUGCUUUUGAUGGGCGUCGACCGGCGCACGGGUGAGUAACGCGUAUCCAACCUGCCCACCACUUGGGGAUAACCUUGCGAAAGUAAGACUAAUACCCAAUGAUAUAUCUAGAAGACAUCUGCAAGAGAUUAAAGAUUUAUAGGUGAUGGAUGGGGAUGCGUCUGAUUAGCUUGUGGGCGGGGUAACGGCACACCAAGGCGACGAUCAGUAGGGGUUCUGAGAGGAAGGUCCCCCACAUUGGAACUGAGACACGGUCCAAACUCCUACGGGAGGCAGCAGUGAGGAAUAUUGGUCAAUGGGCGAGAGCCUGAACCAGCCAAGUAGCGUGCAGGAUGACGGCCCUAUGGGUUGUAAACUGCUUUUAUAAGGGAAUAAAGUGAGCCUCGUGAGGCUUUUUGCAUGUACCUUAUGAAUAAGGACCGGCUAAUUCCGUGCCAGCCGCCGCCGUAC
rnacentral:rRNA from 1 species